GUGAUCUGCUGACGUAUUUAUACGUUUAAUAGGUUUUCGCAUCAAAAGAGCGUCAGCGUCACAGAACGGCAAAUAAGCCAGAACUAGUUUCUGUGUAGUCGUCAACAAAGCAAGAUCACAAUAAUUUUAAAGAAUUUAUAAAAUUCGUGUUUGAACUACUAUUAUUUUGGUCAAUUAUUAAAUUAGCCAAUUUUCACAAGCUGAAACUUUAUUGUUUAUCAUAUUGUUUCUUAAAACAACUCUCGGCGAUUUCUCCAUUACGAUUUGCAAACCAGUUUUAUAUCCUGCCCGUUGUUUCUGCAGAAAUUAUUCGCUAAGAAACGCCGUUGGAAAAUAAC